AUUGAACGCUGGCGGCAUGCUUUACACAUGCAAGUCGUACGAGUGGCGAACGGGUGAGUCAUAUAUCGGACAGUACCGAGUAAUGGGGGAUAACUAAUCGAAAGAUUAGCUAAUACCGCAUAUUAUUCGAGCGGCCGAUAUCUGAUUAGCUAGUUGGUGGGGUAAAGGCCUACCAAGGCGACGAUCAGUAGCGGGUCUGAGAGGAUGAACAGCCACACUGGGACUGAGACCCGGCCCAGACUCCUACGGGAGGCAGCAGUGGGGAAUUUUGUACAAUGGGCUCAAGCCUGAUCCAGCCAUGCCGCGUGUCUGAAGAAGGCCUUCGGGUUGUAAAGUACUUUUGUCAGGGAAGCGGUACCUGAAUAAUAAGCACCGGCUAACUACGUGCCAGCAGCCGCGGUAAGAC
rnacentral:rRNA from 1 species